CGUGCUACGAAAGACACGCGUUCGAUAGAGUUGCGUACAAAUCCGUACAGAUUCCUUUUCGAAUCGUCUCUAUCUCUGACGCGUGGGUGUUUCACGUUUAGCCGGAUCGUCGACAAAUUAUGCGUGUACAUAAAGGAUAGUGGAGGAGACAGGCGAGAAGAGUGGAGAUCGAGUGCCGUAUAGACUAGAGUUCGGUCGUGUGUUGUGAAAGAAGAAAGGUGGGUGCCUGAGAAAACUUGCGGGGAACAACUGCGAUCCGUCAAACUCGCUAUCGCGCUUCGCACUGGCCAGUUUCCAUUCGUGCUGAACACUGCGUAUUUACUCACGCUCCUUGCCGUUUCACCGUGUCAUCUGCGCCAACGUCCGAGCUAAUAUCACGGAGGGAGCCUACGUUCGCUGCGAAAUAGCAACAACGUUACAGUGUGUCUCGUCGCGUCGUAAAACCUCCUACGUGCUUCUCGCCCGUCAAAAUUGAGUUUUUGGGCCCUGAACCCAUUGCAUCUCACUGGCG